GGCACCCCAGGCGUGGCACCGCCGCUCUACGUACGGCCUGGGGGGAGCGCCGCGACAUGUCAAGUCUUAAUGCUCCCUAGCUGCCCCUCUGCUGCCGUCUGUCACAGGGCAACAAAAUCUGAUGGGAUAUUGGAAGGAAGGUUCAGCCCCCACUGCCAUCCCACCAGCGUUUGCCUCUGACGCUGUGGGCCAACAUCAAAACAUAGAAAGCAUUACUUUCAGAGCAGCCCUUGUAAGAUUUGCUGCCAUUCUGUACUCAAAGACUGCACGCUUCUUCCAGUGGGAUCGCUUCUGUCUUAAAGGAAAACAAAAUGGGGAAAUGAAUCACGUGUACUGCAGUUAUUGCUCACACGGCAGUGAAGAAAAAGUAUGGGAGGCUGUGUUCCCUGGGAGCUGCUGUAGUCGGAGACUUGCUGGCUAUGUAACCAUCCACCUUUCUAACUCUGCUGGAAUUGUGUCAGCUCUUGACCUCAUAGAAAUUGCCUUCCAAUGGAAAAAGUUGUUUUGUAACUGAUGAUGAUGAUGUAGCCGUCAAGUGAAAUCACUUUGCUGGUAUUUCUGUGAAUCCUUACCCACUAACAACUCAACCACAUGGAACUCUGGUGAUUAGGCUGUAACUCAAUGCUUGUCAUCAUGUUGGCAGAAGGCAUCUUAACGAGGCUCAUAUAUAAAGAUAUCUGUCAUCAAGAUAAGCCUCACAAAUCUCAUGCAGCCAAAAAGGAUAAAGAGGGAAUCUGGAGAGAGAAACUUGGAGAUGACCCAAAAAUUAAAGGAUCUGAGGAUGGACGUGAGAAUCUGGACAAGAUCUCUGCUGCAAGUAACAAAAUAGAAAACAAGAAUGGUCUUCAACAGAGAUCCACGACAGAGUUACCUGCAAAGAAUCAAAGUACAGCGGUUAGGAGAAUCGUAUCACGAGCUUUGCAUAUCCCUGAAAGAGAACAAAGUAAUGAACAGACGGAUUUGUGUCGAUCCUGGUCUUGCAACAGCAUUUAUCAAAACUACCCCGACUUACAUAUCGGUGGAGACCAUGUGGGAGACCAUACAUGUGAUUCAGGUUGUGUUUUGGACCACGUGUGUGAUGAACUUUCUGACGGCCCCGUUAUACUGUCUGUAGAUAUUCCUCUUGGUCAGUCCCCCCUGUGUGAGCAUCCUGAAAAGCCAGGUGUAAAUUUCCUGUCUGGAGAUGAAGCUGGAGAAGGGAGCAUGAUGUUCUGUGAGGAGCCUCUUUCAAACUCUCUGCUCAACAACUAUAUGGAAGCAAAAGUGUCAGAGAUCUAUAAGCAGCUUUUUGAAGAAAUCUUGACCAGGUGUGGUUCUGUAAGAAACCUCCUCACUUGCAGUUUAAUAAGAAGUAAUGUGGAUCAGAUAAGCUUUCAGAUAUCCCAGGAGCAGAAUAUAGAAACAUCAAAAGCCAGAGAAGUGCUCUUACAGUCUUUAGCUUUGUUUAGUUUGCACAACGUUACCAAUAGAAGUAGCUCUGAGUUUAGUACUCCAAAUUUGCAAAUAUCAAACCCAGGAGGUGUGAAAAAAGGCUGCAGGACAUGGUUUGCAUCAUGUCUGAACUGCUCAGCUGAAGAGAUGAAUACAGGUCAUAUACCAAUGUUUCACUCUAAGGAUUAGAUUGGAAAAUGAAAGCAUGUAGACACCGCAGACUUUUUCAACUAUCUUAAUGCUUAAGCCAUACUUUGUCUAUGAUGAUCAUUAGCAGAGGAAGUAAAGGUCACUGUUCUCUUUUUUUCUCAUGCAGAAUUUGAAGUGCAUUCAUCUUUAGAAUCCUAUUUGAUUUCCUUGUAAAAAUGCGUAUGACCUCCGUGUAAGACUCUGUCUGUAUGACUAAUGUACUCAUGUUUCAUUGGAUUUACUCCUGCAAGAGUAAUCAAUCAAGGCAGAAGUGCUGCUAAAACUUUUAUCUAAGAGCCUGAUCCACCUACCUCUAAGUAAGAGUCUUUGCUGGACUUUGGAUUGCGCUGUAGAGUUGAAGCUCAAGCUUUGGAUAUUCAAGUGCAAAUUUUGCUUCUGCAAAGCUUGAUCACAGUGGCUGGGAAAAUAUUUCUUUGGUUUGAAAAUCUUGUCAGCAGAUGGAGAUGCUCAGGAUUGAAUUAUCUUGUGUCUGGAAUCAUACACAGGAAAUGUAUCAACAUGAAACAUCAAUCAAGGCACUCAUUGCAUAUGUAUGUCUACACUGCAUAGAUAGAGUAUGUCACAAUGAAAGUCGAGGUGAGAUAUCUGAUAAAGAAUUUUAAAAUAUUUUCUAUAAAAAUGUUUUUCUUUUAAAUAAAGUUUUACCUCUUUGAUGAAA